AACGAACGCUGGCGGCAGGCUUAACACAUGCAAGUCGAGCGCCCCGCAAGGGGAGCGGCAGACGGGUGAGUAACGCGUGGGAACGUACCCUUAUCUUCGGGCUAGCUCCGGGAAACUGGAAUUAAUACCGAAUGUGCCCUUUGGGGGAAAGAUUUAUCGGAUAAGGAUCGGCCCGCGUUGGAUUAGCUAGUUGGUGGGGUAAAGGCCUAGCAAGGCGACGAUCCAUAGCUGGUCUGAGAGGAUGAUCAGCCACAUUGGGACUGAGACACGGCCCAAACUCCUACGGGAAGCAGCAGUGGGGAAUAUUGGACAAUGGGCGCAAGCCUGAUCCAGCCAUGCCGCGGGAGUGAUGAAGGCCUUAGGGUUGUAAAGCUCUUUCACCGGAGAAGAUAAUGACGGUAUCCGGAGAAGAAGCCCCGGCUAACUUCGUG
rnacentral:rRNA from 1 species